GGGGGCACCCUGAUCAGCCUGCCGCGGGUGUGAAGAAGGCCUUCGGGGUUGUAAAGCACUUUCAGCGUGGUGAGGAAAGGCGAGUGGCUAAUACCCGCUUGCAUGUGACGUUUCACGCAGAAGAAGGACCGGCUAACUCCGUGCCAGCAGCCGCGGUAAUACGA
rnacentral:rRNA from 1 species